UGGAGCUUGCUCCGGCGGAUUAGUGGCGAACGGGUGAGUAACACGUGAGCAAUCUGCCCUUGACUCUGGGAUAACUGCGGGAAACUGUAGCUAAUACCGGAUACUUUCCUCGGUGGGCAUCCACUGAGGAAGAAAGAAUUUCGGUCAAGGAUGAGCUCGCGACCUAUCAGCUAGUUGGUGAGGUAAAGGCUCACCAAGGCGACGACGGGUAGCCGGCCUGAGAGGGUGACCGGCCACACUGGGACUGAGACACGGCCCAGACUCCUACGGGAGGCAGCAGUGGGGAAUAUUGCACAAUGGACGAAAGUCUGAUGCAGCAACGCCGCGUGAGGGACGAAGGCCUUCGGGUUGUAAACCUCUUUUAGCAGGGAAGAAGCGAAAGUGACGGUACCUGCAGAAAAAGCACCGGCUAACUACGUGCCAGCAGCCGCGGUAAUACGUAGGGUGCAAGCGUUGUCCGGAAUUAUUGGGCGUAAAGAGCUCGUAGGCGGUUUGUCGCGUCUGCUGUGAAAUUUCGAGGCUCAACCUCGAACUUGC
rnacentral:rRNA from 1 species